AACGAACGCUUGCGGCAGGCCUAACACAUGCAAGUCGAGCGAGGACUUCGGUCCUAGCGGCGGACGGGUGAGUAACGCGUGGGAACGUGCCCUUUGCUUCGGAAUAGCCCUGGGAAACUGGGAGUAAUACCGGAUGAGCCCUUUGGGGGAAAGAUUUAUCGGCGAAGGAUCGGCCCGCGUUGGAUUAGGUAGUUGGUGGGGUAAUGGCCUACCAAGCCGACGAUCCAUAGCUGGUUUGAGAGGAUGAUCAGCCACACUGGGACUGAGACACGGCCCAGACUCCUACGGGAGGCAGCAGUGGGGAAUCUUAGACAAUGGGGGAAACCCUGAUCUAGCCAUGCCGCGUGAGCGAUGAAGGCCUUAGGGUUGUAAAGCUCUUUCAGCUGGGAAGAUAAUGACGGUACCAGCAGAAGAAGCCCCGGCUAACUCCGUG
rnacentral:rRNA from 1 species